AUCAGCAUGUCAUAAAACAUAAGAAUAAGGGAUGAAGUUUAAUUCCCGAGCCUAGGGGCAAAAGUGUAAUUAUGCAAAAGUUUAGGGGCAAAAUGAUCAAGAGAAAUGAGAUUCAAGUCGUGAUCGAGGGAAAAAUAAAGUUUACAAGGAAUAGGCCCGAUUGCUAAUAUUUUGUAUCGAGUGUUGUCAGGUUAGCUAAGGGUUGGAGACCGUCGGAGGCAGCAUCACACUAUCAAGGCAACACCUUGACAGUAUAAACACAUAUGCUAGAUUUAUCAAUUUUGUCAAGCUAACUCGGGGAUCGUAAAGUACGUCGGAGGUCCGAGCACACUAUCAUAAGGAUUAUUUUGGUAUAGCUAGACGUUUCAUUUUGAGUAUGGCAUGUAUAGCAUCGUAGCCAUUUUGUGUGUAUGAUCUUAUGAUAUGGCUGAUGAAUAGUAUGUAAAUGCUUGAUAAUCAUUAGCUAUUGGAAUGACUAAUCAAGGACAUGUUUGGUGUUAUGUAUGCCUAAAUGCUAGUUAUUCCAUGGAAAUCAUGAAAAAGGUGAAAUUAGCUUUAAAACAGUAUCAAAUAGCAGUAAUGAUGUGAAUUUGGAAAAUCACUAAAAAUUGUAGAAAUGGAUUUAGAUAUUGAAUGAGAUAUAGAAUUAAAUCUUA